UAUCAGUAUUAAAUAUUGAAGUGCCACCUAC
rnacentral:piRNA from 1 species